rnacentral:lncRNA from 1 species
GGCACCAAGCUUUGCCCAGUCAACUGUCUUUAUUGCAAUUUUUCUGCCAGCCAUUAUAAAAAGUACUUGUUUGCUGAAAUAGCCGAAAAGAGGGCUGGCUGAGGUCCGCAGUUAUCCGAAGUGGCCAAACUUUCUUUAAAAGAAUUCGGGUAUAAUCGUAUAAUAUACUUUUUGUAGCAUUCAGGGGAGGCUUAGUUCGAUUUCUCUUGACGAGCAGUUUAUUGCGUAAAGUUCGUCUUGUUAACGAGGGUAAAAACUAAAAAAUGGCUCCUCCUCCACUUAUGCCACAAAUAGUUUCUCUUUACAAACUCUUAAAAGUACCUGUGGUUCAGAAAUGUUCACUAUGCUACCUAUCUGCAUCAUUUGUGCUUUACUUAUAUUGGAAAAUUCCUGUGACUGAUGAAAUGAGAAAGAACUCGAAAACAUUGAAUCCGUGGCAAGAAUCUCAUCAUCAUUAGAUAUAGUUGCAUCGUUGAAUUCUUAAAAAGAUUUAAUUUAAAACAA